AAACCGCUUAAAGACGUACAACGGACUCGUAAAAACGUACCGGAGGGUGAUCGGAAAAGCGGUAUCGUCUGCUGCUCGUCUGCUUUCCGUCUGCCACUCGUCUGUUUCCUUCCUUGUCGUCUGCUACACGGUACCGGCCUCGCCGCCCUGUUCUCUCCGUCGUCUCCGGCAACGCUUCGCGCCGCUCGUCGUGCCAUGAAGAUGGCCAACGAGUGCGGCGCAUCGACGCAGCCCGCUGCAGUGCCGGCCGGUCAGGCAGCCACAACGCUAGCCGGUGGCGGGAACACCAAGAACAACAACAACAACAAGGACUGGCGUCGGUGUGGCGGGAGUGGAUACCGUGCAGACCGGAAUGCCGUUCGACACCGCCAAGGCCAAGAUAUACGAGACCAAGCGGCACAAGAAGAUCGUGCGACUUAUGACGGUCAUGGCGUACGUUCUCUCUGUCUCGCUCGCGGCGAUCGUGCUGUCGUUGUACUACGUCUUCCUCUGGGAUCCCAACAUGCGGUCUGAGCCACUCCAACAGGACCGCGAGGCGAGUCGCAACACAGCGUUCGCACAGGCGUCGUCUGCUACGAACGAGACGGACUGUUCGCAAGUGCCGUCUGCUUCGCAGAAGGCGGCGGCCAGAGUUCAGGUGGCGGCUACCAGCACGGCGACGGCGGCAACUAACAACGACGAGCCUGCCGUUAUUGACGCUACGGCGGGCUACGAAGACGUCGCGGCCGAGGACGCGGCGUCGCCUUCAGAGAUCUCGCUCGGCGAGCUCGCCGACAACGCGACGGACAACGCGACAUCGUCUUGGGUCGAAGAAGAAGCGGACGACGGUGCGGGCAUGUCGUUUGCGUCGUCCUCAUCUUCAGCGGACGUCCCUGAAGAGAAGUCCACCGCUUCCGUCGAUAGAUGAGAGAACACGAAUCCAGCUUCUUCUGAAACCAGAAGUUCAGCCACGCAGACACCGCCGUCCGCGUCUCAUUCGAGCGUGUGACGUCACAAGGGGGACGACACACGCGAGGAACAAUUGACACGGCUGACGUCGACAUUGUGCGCUUUGAGGAAACGAAUAAAAAAAAGACAAAGAAAAUAAACUCGUCCAUCG
rnacentral:misc_RNA from 1 species